GCCGGGAUGGCGGAAUUGGCAGACGCACAGGACUUAAAAUCCUGCGAUAGCAAUAUCGUACCGGUUCGACCCCGGUUCUCGGCACCA
rnacentral:tRNA from 1 species